GCUGGGCAUGGUGGCACAUGCCUGUAAUCCCAGCUACUCAUGAGGCUGAGGCAGGAGAAUUGCUUGAACCUGGGAGGCUGAGGUUGCAGUGAGCCGAGAUGGUGCCACUGCACUCCAGCCUGGCGACAGUGCGAUUGAGACAGAGUCUCGCUGGAGUGCAGUGGCACCAUCUUGGCUCACUGCAACCUCAGCCUCCCAGGUUCAAGCAAUUCUCCUGCCUCAG
rnacentral:SRP_RNA from 13 species